GACCCAGUGGCGGAUAGUUCGCGCCCGCACCGUGUAAAUGUGAAUUCUGUCGAGUCUGGCAGCGGGAAGUCCUGGUUCGACUCCAGGCUGGGUCA